AUUGAACGCUGGCGGCAUGCCUAACACAUGCAAGUCGAACGAGUGGCGGACGGGUGAGUAAUCUCUGGGAAACUGCCCGAUGGAGGGGGAUAACUACUGGAAACGGUAGCUAAUACCGCAUACCAUCGGAUGUGCCCAGAUGGGAUGAGCUAGUAGGUUGGGUAACGGCUCACCUAGGCGACGAUCCCUAGCUGGUCGGAGAGGAUGACCAGCCACACUGGAACUGAGACACGGUCCAGACUCCUACGGGAGGCAGCAGUGGGGAAGAUUGCACAAUGGGCGAAAGCCUGAUGCAGCCAUGCCGCGUGUAUGAAGAAGGCCUUCGGGUUGUAAAGUACUUUAAGCGAGAAGGCGUUACUCGCAGAAGAAGCACCGGCUAACUCCGUGCCAGCCGCCGCGGUAAUUC
rnacentral:rRNA from 1 species